rnacentral:rRNA from 1 species
UACGGAGGGGGCUAGCGUUGUUCGGAAUUACUGGGCGUAAAGCGCACGUAGGCGGACUGUUAAGUCGGGGGUGAAAUCCUGGGGCUCAACCUCAGAAUUGCCUCCGAUACUGGCAGUCUCGAGUGCGGGAGAGGUGAGUGGAAUUCCCAGUGUAGAGGUGAAAUUCGUAGAUAUUGGGAAGAACACCAGUGGGCGAAAGGCGGCUCA